rnacentral:rRNA from 1 species
GACGAACCGAGCGAACGUUAUUCGGAAUCACUGGGCUUAAAGGGUGCGUAGGCGGGCUGUCAAGUCUGGGGUGAAAUCCCGCGGCUCAACCGUGGAACUGCCUUAGAUACUGAUGGCCUCGAGGGAGGUAGGGGCAUGCGGAACUGUAGGUGGAGCGGUGAAAUGCGUUGAUAUCUACAGGAACUCCGGUGGCGAAAGCGGCGUGCUGGACCUCUUCUGACGCUGAGGCACGAAAGCUAGGGGAGCAAACGGG